GACGAACGCUGGCGGCGUGCCUAAUACAUGCAAGUCGAGCGGACUUUCCGGAAUCUUUGCCCUCCGGCGGGUGCGCGGCGGGCGGGUGAGACACACGUAGGCAACCCUCCUAUUAGACCGGGAUUACCGUCGGAAACGAAUGCAUAUACCAGAAUAUCUGCCCCCGCGCAUGUGGGGAGCGGGAAAGGCGUUGCAAGCUGCCGCUUGUGGAUGGCCCUGCGGCGCAUUAGCUGGGUGGUGGGGUAACGGCCCACCAAGGCGACGAUGCGUAGCCGACCUGAGAGGGUGAUCGGCCACACUGGAACUGAGACACGGUCCAGACUCCUACGGGAGGCAGCAGUAGGGAAUCUUCCGCAAAGGGCGCAAGCCUGACGGAGCAACGCCGCGUGAGUGAGGAAGGCCUUCGGGUCGUAAAGCUCUGUUGUCAGGGAAGAACAGGUGGGGGAGUAACUGCCCCUGCCAUGACGGUACCUGAGAAGAAAGCCCCGGCUAACUACGUG
rnacentral:rRNA from 1 species